rnacentral:sRNA from 1 species
AAUUAUUUCUUGGUACGCUCUACUUUCUCUAAACGAUCCUCUAACUCUCUGUAACGAUUUUGUCUAUAAUGCUGACUCCGUCUGUUAGGAGGGUAGCAGAGGUCAGAUCCUUCCUUACACAAGCUAGGACUAUAGGUAAGGACAGGCAGCGUUAGGAUGAGAGCCCUGCUGUGAGUUUGCGUUUAAACUCUACCACUGCCCUCUUUGGUGAUUAAUCACUGCAUGUCAAGUCUUACCUGUCUAGGUUAGACUUAAAGUUAGAGAUUCUCCUGUCUCCGGCUUACAGGCGCUAGGAUUAAAGGCAUGCUCCAGGGCUGACACUUAUUCCAUGACCUUUGACUUCCUCUCUGGAGCUUAGUUUCCUCAAUUAAAAAGCAAGGACUACUGUAAAUUGUAAAGAGGUAUUUGAAAAUUCAGUGAGAUAAAAUGUUAUAAACAGUUGAAAAGCAGCUAGCUACUCUGGUUAUUACAAGCCUGCUACUGUCUCAAACCUGUUUUUCAAAUUCACACUCUUCAAUUUCAUUAAUUCAGUUACUUUUAGUCAAUGUUAACUCAGUUACUUGGCAUGUUUGCAUUGUCCAUCGUGAUAGAAUUCAAAGUUGUUUGUUGGGGUCUCUACAACCUUUAGGGCUGGCAGAGUAACAAUUCAUGUGAAUCUGACUGAACAGGACUCUCAGUACCUGGUGUCGCUUCAGACUUCUCGGCCCUGAUGCUGGGCAGCUUCCUUCAGGAGAAGGACUGCUCUGUGGCUGUAGAGGGCGGAGUAAAGAGAGGGCAUAGAAAGACGAGGAGCAGCAGCAUCUCUCACCUUCCAGUCACCUAAGGCUUCGUUGGCGCUCCUCCCACCCCUCCACACACAACCAAGAUGAUCUUUUAAAACCAUGGCAGAGGGGGUGGAGCAAUGGAUCAGAAGUUAAGAGCAUUUGCUGCUCUUGCAGAGGACCUGGGUUCAGUUUCCGGCACCUAUAUAUUGGCUCACAGUUCCAGGGGACUCUGAUGCCCUCUUCUGGCCUCUGCAGUUAUUACAUGCAUUUGAUCCACAUAAACUAAAUAAAAUCAUACACUCAUACACAUAAAAUAAAUAAAAUCCUUUUAAAAACACAGCAUACAUAUACUUUUUUUUGCUUAUUUCUGUUCAUGAUGAGAUCCAACCUCUUAACAAGGACUAGUUUUGUUGGUUUUAGGCCCCCCGACUCACUGUAAAGUCUUUGGUGGGGCCCUCUCACAAUUACAGCCACUCUCCCAGUCUUGCAUGGGCCCCACGUCAGGUCCUGUAUACUGUUCCUACAACUACAGCACUAAUCCUCCACUUUAUUCCUCUAAUAAACAGUUUAUUAGAGGCAUAA